rnacentral:rRNA from 1 species
UGCCACAGCCAUAUCACCCUGCAGCCCAAGACUGGUUGCCUACUGAAGCUAAGCAGGGUUGAGCCUGGUCAGUACCUGGAUGGGAGACCUCCUGAGAAAACUAGGUUGCUGUUGGAA